AACCAUAGAAACCUGCGGAGUACCUGCGGAAGGAUCAUUACCGAGUUUACAAACUCCCAACCCUAUGUGAACCUUACCAAUCGUUGCUUCGGCGGGCUUAGCCCCCGCGCCCUCGCCGGCGCCGGGAGAAAGGCGCCCGCCGGGGACCCCAAACCCAAUGUUUUUCAUGCAGUAUUUCUGAGUGGCAAACGCAAAAAUAAAUCAAAACUUUCAGCAAUGGAUCUCAGAUCGGAAGAGCAC
rnacentral:misc_RNA from 1 species